rnacentral:rRNA from 1 species
GACGAACGCUGGCGGCGUGCUUAACACAUGCAAGUCGAACGGAAAGGCCCUGCUUGCAGGGUACUCGAGUGGCGAACGGGUGAGUAACACGUGGGUGAUCUGCCCUGCACUUCGGGAUAAGCCUGGGAAACUGGGUCUAAUACCGGAUAGGAGCCAUUUUUAGUGUGAUGGUUGGAAAGUUUUUUCGGUGUAGGAUGAGCUCGCGGCCUAUCAGCUUGUUGGUGGGGUAAUGGCCUACCAAGGCGGCGACGGGUAGCCGGCCUGGGUGGGUGGACGGCCACAUUGGGACUGAGAUACGGCCCAGACUCCUACGGGAGGCAGCAGUGGGGAAUAUUGCACAAUGGGCGCAAGCCUGAUGCAGCGACGCCGCGUGGGGGAUGACGGCCUUCGGGUUGUAAACUCCUUUCGCUAGGGACGAAGCUUUUUGUGACGGUACCUAGAUAAGAAGCACCGGCUAACUACGUG